rnacentral:rRNA from 1 species
AGCGAACGCUGGCGGCAUGCUUAACACAUGCAAGUCGAACGAAAAUUUCCGGCUUAGUGGCGGAGGGGGGAGUACGACGUGGUAACGUGCCUGUAGGUUCCCAGUCGUUGAGGGUAACUUGUCCUAAUACCAAAUGUGCCCUUAGGGGGAAAGAGUUAGAGCCUUUAGUGCGGCACGGGCCUGAUUAGCUAGUUGGGUGAGGUAAUGGCUCACCAAGGCGACGAGCAGUAGCUGGUCUGGGAGGAGGAGCAGACACACUGGGAGUGAGACACGGCCCAAACUCCUACGGAAGGGAGGAGUGGGGGAUCUUGCGCAAUGGGGGAAAGCCUGACGCAGCCAUGCCGGGUGAAUGAUGAUGGUCUUAGGAUAGUGAAUUUCUUUCACCGGGGACGAUAAUGACGGUACCCGGAGAAGAAGCCCCGGCUAACUACGUG